GUGAGGAAUAUUGGUCAAUGGGCGCAAGCCUGAUCCAGCCAUGCCGCGUGCAGGAAGACGCAUCUAUGGUGUGUAAACUGCUUUUGUACGGGAAGAAACACUCCCUCGUGAGGGAGCUUGACGGUACCGUAAGAAUAAGGAUCGGCUAACUCCGUGCCAGCAGCCGCGGUAAUACGGAGGAUCCAAGCGUUAUCCGGAAUCAUUGGGUUUAAAGGGUCCGUAGGCGGUUUAAUAAGUCAGUGGUGAAAGCCCAUCGCUCAACGAUGGAACGGCCAUUGAUACUGUUAGACUUGAAUUACAAGGAAGUAACUAGAAUAUGUAGUGUAGCGGUGAAAUGCUUAGAUAUUACAUGGAAUACCAAUUGCGAAGGCAGGUUACUACUUGUGGAUUGACGCUGAUGGACGAAAGCGUGGGGAGCGAACAGGAUUAGAUACCCGAGUAGUCC
rnacentral:rRNA from 1 species